rnacentral:rRNA from 1 species
GCCCGCGAAGAUAGCACGUUAAAUGCACCAGUCCCCAAUGGAUCACUGAAGUUAACCAACGUUGCGCGUGCUUGGUAACAGGAUGGGUGACCAUCUGGGCUACCGCAUUAAUCGCGUACU